AACGAACGCUGGCGGCAUGCCUAACACAUGCAAGUCGAACGAGACCUUCGGGUCUAGUGGCGCACGGGUGCGUAACGCGUGGGAACCUGCCCUUAGGUUCGGAAUAACUCCCCGAAAGGGGUGCUAAUACCGGAUAAUGUCUUCGGACCAAAGAUUUAUCGCCUUUGGAUGGGCCCGCGUUGGAUUAGCUAGUUGGUAGGGUAAAAGCCUACCAAGGCGACGAUGCAUAGCUGGUCUGAGAGGAUGAUCAGCCACACUGGGACUGAGACACGGCCCAGACUCCUACGGGAGGCAGCAGUGGGGAAUAUUGGACAAGGGGCGAAAGCCUGAUCACGCAAUGCCGCGUGAGUGAUGAAGGCCGUAGGGUUGUAAAGCUCUUUUACCCGGGAUGAUAAUGACAGUACCGGGAGAAUAAGCUCCGGCUAACUCCGUG
rnacentral:rRNA from 1 species